ensembl:miRNA
ACUCACUGCCAUUGAGUCAGUUCUGACUCACAAUGACCCUGUGUGGCAGAGGAGAAUUGCCCUGCAGUUUC